GAUGAACGCUGGCGGCGUGCUUAACACAUGCAAGUCGAACGGGAAUUACUUUAUUGAAACUUCGGUCGAUUUAAUUUAAUUCUAGUGGCGGACGGGUGAGUAACGCGUGGGUAACCUGCCUUAUACAGGGGGAUAACAGUCAGAAAUGGCUGCUAAUACCGCAUAAGCGCACAGAGCUGCAUGGCUCGGUGUGAAAAACUCCGGUGGUAUAAGAUGGACCCGCGUUGGAUUAGCUUGUUGGUGGGGUAACGGCCCACCAAGGCGACGAUCCAUAGCCGGCCUGAGAGGGUGAACGGCCACAUUGGGACUGAGACACGGCCCAGACUCCUACGGGAGGCAGCAGUGGGGAAUAUUGCACAAUGGGGGAAACCCUGAUGCAGCGACGCCGCGUGAAGGAAGAAGUAUCUCGGUAUGUAAACUUCUAUCAGCAGGGAAGAUAGUGACGGUA
rnacentral:rRNA from 1 species